rnacentral:rRNA from 1 species
AUUGAACGCUGGCGGCAGGCCUAACACAUGCAAGUCGAGCGGAUGACGGGAGCUUGCUCCUUGAUUCAGCGGCGGACGGGUGAGUAAUGCCUAGGAAUCUGCCUGGUAGUGGGGGACAACGUUUCGAAAGGAACGCUAAUACCGCAUACGUCCUACGGGAGAAAGCAGGGGACCUUCGGGCCUUGCGCUAUCAGAUGAGCCUAGGUCGGAUUAGCUUGUUGGUGAGGUAAUGGCUCACCAAGGCGACGAUCCGUAACUGGUCUGAGAGGAUGAUCAGUCACACUGGAACUGAGACACGGUCCAGACUCCUACGGGAGGCAGCAGUGGGGAAUAUUGGACAAUGGGCGAAAGCCUGAUCCAGCCAUGCCGCGUGUGUGAAGAAGGUCUUCGGAUUGUAAAGCACUUUAAGUUGGGAGGAAGGGUUGUAGAUUAAUACUCUGCAAUUUUGACGUUACCGACAGAAUGAGCACCGGCUAACUCUGUG